CUCGGCAACGGAUAUCUCGGCUCUCGCAUCGAUGAAGACCGUUGCGAAAUGCCAUACUUGGUGUGAAUUGCAGAAUCCCGUGAACCAUCGAGUCUUUGAACGCAAGUUGCGCCCGACGCCAUUCGGCCGAGGGCACGUCUGCCUGGGUGUCACGG
rnacentral:rRNA from 2 species